GAUGAAGAACGCAGCAAAAUGCGAUAAGUAAUGUGAAUUGCAGAAUUCAGUGAAUCAUCGAAUCUUUGAACGCACAUUGCGCCCGCCAGUAUUCUGGCGGGCAUGCCUGUUCGAGCGUCAUUUCAACCCUCAAGCUCAGCUUGGUGUUGGGACUCGCGGUAACCCGCGUUCCCCAAAUCGAUUGGCGGUCACGUCGAGCUUCCAUAGCGUAGUAAUCAUACACCUCGUUACUGGUAAUCGUCGCGGCCACGCCGUAAAACCCCAACUUCUGAAUGUUGACCUCGGAUCAGGUAGGAAUACCCGCUGAACUUAAGCAUAUCAAUAAGCGGAGGA
rnacentral:misc_RNA from 1 species